rnacentral:rRNA from 1 species
AUUGAACGCUGGCGGCAUGCCUUACACAUGCAAGUCGAACGGCAGCGGACCUUCGGGUGCCGGCGAGUGGCGAACGGGUGAGUAAAGUAUCGGAACGUACCUUUCAGUGGGGGAUAACGUAGCGAAAGUUACGCUAAUACCGCAUAUUCUCUGAGGAGGAAAGCAGGGGACCUUCGGGCCUUGCGCUGAUGGAGCGGCCGAUAUCAGAUUAGCUAGUUGGUGGGGUAAGGGCCUACCAAGGCGACGAUCUGUAGCGGGUCUGAGAGGAUGAUCCGCCACACUGGGAAUGAGAAACGGCCCAGACUCCUACGGGAGGCAGAAGUGGGGAAUUUUGGACAAUGGGCGAAAGCCUGAUCCAGCCAUGCCGCGUGAGUGAAGAAGGCCUUCGGGUUGUAAAGCUCUUUCGGCCGGGAAGAAAUCGUGUGGGCCAAUACCCUGCAUGGAUGACGGUACCGGAAUAAGAAGCACCGGCUAACUACGUGCCAGCCGCCGCAGUAACAC